UGCCUCUGUUCAGAAGGAGUGAGUGCAGAGAUCAGAUACACAGUUGUAUAGGUACACAAGGGUCAGGACUGCAAGCAGUUAAUUGAAUUUUUAACUCCAGAGGAUGUUUGGGCCAUAGUUUUUGGAUUCAGUCAACCUCAUCAGGUUAGGUACCUUGCCUAACCUCCCUAGGCAGCUCUCCUGCUCAGUCUGAUGUCUCACUAGAGAUAUCAACCCAUUCUGUGAGAGAGCAACCCCCUUAUUUUCGGUAUGCUUCUGUUGUUGCUCUAGGCUACAACAGAGUAGAGCUCUGGGCUCUAGCUUGUCCCAUUUUUUUCCAGUACCUUGUGCUAGUGAUUCACAACAUCUUUGCUGUCAAAAAGCCACAGUUUUUAGUGGGAAAGCAUGAGACACAACCGGGUCGAAGGGAGGAGAGGUGAUUUAAACAAAGGACUGUGGCAUAUCUCCAUCUGUGCAGUCAGCUGUCACGCGUGGCCUCCCGGAUGGGAACAAGAAGUCUGCUCAUAGGCUGCAACAUUUCUAAAGUGUAUAAACAGCAAAUGCUUCUUUUGGUCUAUGACUUGCAAAAUAUUGUAGCAACCUUAAAAAUGCCACAACAUAACAAAGAGAAGUUCCAUGUGAAUUAUGGGGAGAAAGGACUGAAGGGACAUGGAGCGAACUUCAAAGGAAAAAAAAGAAGGUGGCAGAUUUGUCAGCCAUUGAAGUUGCAGAUGCCUGGGAAACAGAAAAUUGAAAAGGUUAAUUAAUUCUUGUCAGCACUAUCUAGAAUUUCAUUUGAUUUUCUUAUUUCUCUGUUUUGCAAUCUUGUCCUCAGAAACCCUGUACUUUGGUAAAGGAAGGAGCAUUUAAACCUGUCAGGUUUCAGAUGCAGCCAAAUGAGAAUGAAUCUACUAGAGAGAAGAGUUUGCAAAAUCAAGCACCCAGAUGUUUCUUGGCUGCUGAAGUAUGCAGUCUUGCAGCUCUUUUGGAGUUUGCCCUCUUUGCAAUACAGAGCUAAGCAACUGAAUUUGAGAGGUGUUGGUGAGGAGAUAAAAGGCAUUCUGCUCCAUUCCUGUGGAGAAGACCAGCUGCUUUCAUCAGGUGUCUUCCAUUUUGGCUCUAAUGGGGAGGAAAAAAAGUGCCAAAACACAGGCAAUCCCGAAACCCCAAACUGGUGUACAUGUCCGGGUAAACAGAGGGAGAAUGAAGAACACACACAGUCACUGUCGGCCUGUAAGAGGAGAGAAUAUCUCUUCUAUUCUUGAGUUUGUCCUUUUUGUCUUUCCAUGAAUUUUCAUUACUAUCAAUGCCAUUAAGUUUCCCACUGGCAACUGACUAGUUUUUUCAAGGAG
rnacentral:lncRNA from 1 species